rnacentral:rRNA from 1 species
CAAGAGCGUAUAUUAAAGUUGUUGCAGUUAAAAGCUCGUAGUUGGAUUUCUGGUACAACGCGCCUGGCCCGCUUACGUGAGUGCCGGUGCGCGUUUGCCAUCCUUCUAGAAAACGUCUCUACUCGGGCAACUGAGCCGGAUUCGCGAUCUAGAUCUUUUACUUUGAAAAAUUAGAGUGUUUAAAGCAGGCUAUUGCCUUGAAUACAUUAGCAUGGAAUAACACUAUAGGACUCCUGUCCUAUUUCGUUGGUCUCGGGACGGGAGUAAUGAUUAAGAGGAACAGUUGGGGGCGAUUCGUAUUUCAUUGUCAGAGGUGAAAUUCUUGGAUUUAUGAAAGACGAACUUCUGCGAAAGCAUUUGCCAAGGAUGUUUUCAUUAAUCAAGAACGAAAGUUGGGGGCUCGAAGACGAUUAGAUACCA